AUUGAACGCUGGCGGCAGGCCUAACACAUGCAAGUCGAACGAGUGGCGGACGGGUGAGUAAUGUAUGGGAAACUGCCUGCUGGAGGGGGAUAACUACUGGAAACGGUAGCUAAUACCGCAUACCAUCGGAUGUGCCCAGCAGGGAUUGGGUAGUAGGUGGGGUAAAGGCUAACCUAGGCGACGAUCCCUAGCUGGUCUGAGAGGAUGACCAGCCAAACUGGAAGUGAGACACGGUCCAGACUCCUACGGGAGGCAGCAGUGGGGAAUAUUGCACAAUGGGCGCAAGCCUGAUGCAGCCAGGCCGCGUGUAUGAAGAAGGCCUUCGGGUUGUAAAGUACUUUCAGCGGGGAGGCGUUACCCGCAGAAGAAGCACCGGCUAACUCCGUGCCAGCAGCCGCGGUAAUAC
rnacentral:rRNA from 1 species